AUCGCUUCUCGGCCUUUUGGCUGAGAUCAAGUGUAGUAGGGGAGUUUGAGUCAGCUGUUUCUUUAACUGAAAUUUAAGAGUUCAUGAUAGGUUGGUGAAUAGCUAGCUCUGUACCAGCUUAUCUUUGUGGAAGCUACUAGUUAAGUAAGUGCACAAAACACUU
rnacentral:snRNA from 1 species